AGCAGGCAAUAAAGAAUGGAUUGAAAGUUGAAAAAGUACAUAGGGUUAUUCAGUUUAAUCAGUCCAAUUGGUUGGCUAAAUACAUAGAUCUGAACACCGAAAUGAGGAAAAAGGCGAAGAACGCAUUUGAGAAAGACUUCUUUAAGUUGAUGAACAAUACUGUAUUUGGUAAAACAAUGCAGUCUAAAAGAAAAGAGAUGAAGAUGGAGUCAGUAUCGUCUGAGAGGAGGCUGCA